rnacentral:tRNA from 1 species
GCCCGGGUAGCUCAGUUGAUAAAGUGCGGGACUUUUAAUGCUGAGGUUAAGGGUUCAAGUCACUCAUCGGGUG